GCUUCUUCUUGUUCUUUUUCUUUCUUCUCUUGCUCUUUUUCACGAGCUUCUUCAGCCUCUUCUUGUUCUUUUUCACGAGCAGCUUCGGCUUCUUCUUGUUCCUUUUCUUUUCUUUCUUGUUCCUUCUCUCGAGCGGCCUCAGCCUCUUCUUGUUCCUUUUCACGAGCGGCCUCAGCUUCUUCUUGUUCUUUUUCUUUCUUCUCUUGCUCUUUUUCUCGAGCUUCUUCGGCUUCUUCUUGCUCUUUCUCUUUUCUUUCUUGUUCCUUUUCUCGAGCUUCUUCAGCCUUUUCCAGUUCUUGUUCCUUGGCUUUUUUCGAUUGC
rnacentral:lncRNA from 1 species